rnacentral:rRNA from 1 species
CCUACGGGUGGCAGCAGUGGGGAAUAUUGCACAAUGGGGGAAACCCUGAUGCAGCGACGCCGCGUGAGUGAAGAAGUAAUUCGUUAUGUAAAGCUCUAUCAGCAGGGAAGAAAAUGACGGUACCUGAGUAAGAAGCCCCGGCUAACUACGUGCCAGCAGCCGCGGUAAUACGUAGGGGGCAAGCGUUAUCCGGAUUUACUGGGUGGAAAGGGAGCGUAGACGGGAGUGCAAGUCUGGAGUGAAAGGCGGGGGCUCAACCCCCGGACUGCGCUGGAAACUGUACGGCUGGAGUGCAGGAGAGGGAAGUGGAAUUCAUGGUGUAGCGGUGAAAUGCGUAGAUAUUAGGAGGAACACCAGUGGCGAAGGCGGCUUACUGGACUGUAACUGACGUUGAGGCUCGAAAGCGUGGGGAGCAAACAGGAUUAGAUACCCUAGUAGUC